UAAUCAAUCAUGCAGCAUCCAUUCUAAUUGAUAACAUCAUGAAGUACUUUGUGCAACAUCCAUAUAUUCAAGCAUAAGCAACUGGCAUUCAAUAGAGACUUGUAAUUAUUUUGUCUACCGAAAACAAUAAAAAAAAUACAGAGAGAUAGAGAUGCGCAAUUUUUCUUUUUGAAAAUAAGAACUGCAAAGAAGAGGCUCCCUCAACACGUUUGCAAGCCAAAAUAUACCGCCAUGUUCCUUAUUGGUUUAUGCAGUACUCAUUCAAAAUGGUUGCAUGCUUUGAAUGUACUAAAACAAAAUCAGGAUCCGGAUAUUAAAAACUUGGAACUGAUAUAACAGUUUUAAUAAAGAUGGCAACCGCAAUUCAGAACCUUAUUAAGCAGGCCAUUUUCUUUAUACACAUGAAUCAAAGUACAUACACAAAAUUUUUUAAUAUUCUAAAAGCAGAAGUGACAAAAGGUCAUUCGUGGAAAAUAAAAUUGAGAAAAAACCUUAAAGAAAAAUUUGGUUAUACACUUGUCUAAGGGAAUCUACUAACCCUUUCAGCAAUGCUUCGUGGGUGAGUGGCACAGCCACGCUUGGC
rnacentral:misc_RNA from 1 species